AUGUUGCAGGUAUGAUUUUGGAUGGAUCCUUGUGCUGUCGGCACUGUUUACUUUCAGUGAUGCAUCUAGUCAAACUGUCAACCAGGAGCUUUCAAAUAUUUUCAAUGAGCUCUGGAAGCUGGAUGUGAAUCGCCUGAUGCCUGGGACUCAUUACAAUAUCUCACUACAGGGCAAAGCUGGUUACAUACCACAGGGAAGCACCAGUGCGGUAGACCACGCCUCAUCCCCACUGUUUACCAGCGUCGAUGAGGCCAAACUGAACUCCAUGACCACGUAUGCACGUAUGUUUCUUUUGUAAAAACCUCUAACCCCUU